UGAGGAAUAUUGGUCAAUGGGCGAGAGCCUGAACCAGCCAAGUCGCGUGAAGGAAGACAGUCCUAAGGAUUGUAAACUUCUUUUAUACGGGAAUAACGGGCGAUACGAGUAUUGCAUUGAAUGUACCGUAAGAAUAAGCAUCGGCUAACUCCGUGCCAGCAGCCGCGGUAAUACGGAGGAUGCGAGCGUUAACCGGACUUAUUGGGUUUAAAGGGUGCGUGGGUUGUUCGGUAAGUCAGCGGUGAAACCUGAGCGCUCAACGUUCAGCCUGCCGUUGAAACUGCCAGGCUUGAGUUCAGUGGCGGCAGGCGGAAUUCGUAGUGUAGCGGUGAAAUGCAUAGAUAGCACGAGGAACUCCGAUUGCGAAGGCAGCUUGCCAUACUGCGACUGACACUGAAGCACGAAGGCGUGGGUAUCAAACAGG
rnacentral:rRNA from 1 species